rnacentral:rRNA from 1 species
GAUGAACGCUGGCGGCGUGCCUAACACAUGCAAGUCGAGCGAUUCUCUUCGGAGAAGAGCGGCGGACGGGUGAGUAACGCGUGGGUAACCUGCCUCAUACACAUGGAUAACAUACCGAAAGGUAUGCUAAUACAAGAUGAUAUAAGAGAUUCGCAUGGAUUUCUUAUCAAAGCUCCGGCGGGAUGAGAUGGACCCGCGUCUGAUUAGCUAGUUGGUAAGGUAACGGCUUACCAAGGCGACGACCAGUAGCCGACCUGAGAGGGUGAUCGGCCACAUUGGAACUGGGACACGGUCCAAACUCCUACGGGAGGCAGCAGUGGGGAAUAUUGCACAAUGGGCGAAAGCCUGAUGCAGCAACGCCGCGUGAGCGAUGAAGGCCUUCGGGUCGUAAAGCUCUGUCCUCAAGGAAGAUAAUGACGGUACUUGAGGAGGAAGCCCCGGCUAACUACGUGCCAGCAGCCGCAGUAAUAC